CCUACGGGAGGCAGCAGUAGGGAAUAUUGCGCAAUGGGGGAAACCCUGAAGCAGCAACGCCGCGUGGGGGAUGAAGGUUUUCGGAUUGUAAACUCCUUUUGUUAGGGAAGAUAAUUACGUUAUCUAACGAGUACUCACCUGCUAACUCCGUGCCAGCAGCCGCGGUAAUACGGAGGGUGCAAACGUUACUCGGAAUCACUGGGCGUACAGAGCGCGUAGGCGGGAUAGCAAGUCAGAUGUGAAAUCCUAUGGCUUAACCAGAGAACUGCAUUUGAAACUGGUAUUCUAGAGUGUGGGAGAGGUAGGUGGAAUUCUUGGUGUAGGGGUAAAAUCCGUAGAGAUCAAGAGGAAUACGCAUUGCGAAGGCGACCAGCUAGAACAUAACUGACGCUGAGGCGCGAAAGCGUGGGGAGCAAACAGGAUUAGAUACCCCAGUAGUC
rnacentral:rRNA from 1 species